UACGAAGGGUGCAAGCGUUAAUCGGAAUUACUGGGCGUAAAGCGUGCGUAGACGGUCAUGUAAGUCGGGUGUGAAAGCCCCGGGCUCAACCUGGGAAUUGCAUUCGAGACUGCAUGGCUAGGAUGCGGAAGAGGGAAGCGGAAUUUCCGGUGUAGCGGUGAAAUGCGUAGAUAUCGGAAGGAACACCAGUGGCGAAAGCGGCUUCCUGGUCCAGCAUCGACGUUCAGGCACGAAAGCGUGGGGAGCAAACAGG
rnacentral:rRNA from 1 species